rnacentral:rRNA from 1 species
AGAGUUUGAUCCGUGGCUCAGGACUACGCUGGCGGCGUGCCUAACACAUGCAAGUCGAACGGGCCCUUCGGGGCUAGUGGCAGAAGGGUGAGUAACACGUAGGCAAUGUGUCUUCUCGCUGGGGGAUACCCGCCCGAAAGGGCGGCUAAUACCGAAUGAUUCCGCCUUGAGGCAUCUUGAGGCGUAUAAACCGUAAGGGUGAGAGGAGCAGCUUGCGCAUCAUCAGCUAGUUGGUGGGGUGACGGCCUACCAAGGCUUCGACGAUUAGCCGGUCUGAGAGGAUGAACGGCCACACUGGAACUGAGACACGGUCCAGACUCCUACGGGAGGCAGCAGUGAGGAAUAUUGCGCAAUGGGCGGAAGCCUGACGCAGCGACGCCGCGUGAGGGAUGAAGGUUUUCGGAUCGUAAACCUCUGUUAAGCAGGGAAGAGAACGGACGGUACCUGCUGAGGAAGCAUCGGCUUACUACGUGCC